GAUAACUUGGGGGGUGGGGGGUGUCUGUUCAUGGAUAAAUUACCUUUAUUUAUUGUCGGCUAGGAGGAGGAGCUGCUUCAGAAAGGAGGGGAACAGGGAGGCGGACUGGCGCUGUUUCUGAGGAAUUUCCAAAGAGAUUGUGAGGGGUGGGGGUGGAGAGCAGUUUUGGUCCCUCGUCACGGUCAGAGACACCCCUGAGUCUGGGCUCAGUUGUGAUAACCGCAGGGUUAUCAGCACAUCAGUGUUUGAAGACGUAAGGCUGUGUCGGGUUGCAGUGUUGAUGAUGGUCGCUACCCAAGAUGGCGGCUGGAGUUUGUCUCCUGAGAAGGAAGGGAAGAGAGGUUGGGCAUGGAGAAGGCCCGUUCUUGAUGGGGGGGUGAGGGGCACCAGACACAUAAGAUAAGAAUCUUGACAGGAUAAUUGUGCAAUAUUGAGCAGCAUUCCCCACCAACCCCGCACAGACCAGGAGGCCGCACCACAGAGGCCUCAUCCGUUACCAGGGCAACCGUACUCCAUGUUGUCAGGGGAUGGGUGGGCUGGAGUUUGCAUCACCCUGGUCUUCUACCUUGUACAGUAUUUAUGAUUUAUUUGUUGUGGUUGUUUUUUUUUGUUUUUGUUUUUUUAAAAAGAAAACCUAGCUACCGUUUGUAGAGGGAGUCAGCGAGUUGAACUGUUAGCGCCGCUUAAUUUAAUCGAGCUCGUAAUCUUCCGUUGUGAGAGGGGUAAAUUUGCCUCAGAGACCGAAAGGUCUCCACAGGCAAAGUGAAGGCCGUCCUUAAAACCUUGAACAAAGUUACCAUAUUUUUCGCUCUAUAACACGCACCCGACCAUAACACGCACGUAGUUUUUAGAGGAGGAAAAUCCGUAGGCAUGCCACCCGUAGGCAUUCCCUCCAUAACACGCACAGACAUUUCCCCUUACUUUCUAGGAGGAAAAAAGUGAGUGUUAUGGUGCAAAAAAUACGGUAGAUCCCCACUAGCAUCGUUGUGAACAUGGUUGAGGGCUGGGGAGAAAGCGGGCUGCAUUUCUCUAGCUGACCAUGGGACGUAUUCUGGGGACACAUCAGUCGCCGGGUUUCCUGCAAAGAUUCCUGAAGGAGGUGAACCGUUGCUUGAUCCUGCAAGGAACCUCUCGGCUGCCCAGUCCUCUACGUAUUUACUCAGAGUUACGUCCCGCUGACUUUCAGUGGUGCUUACUCCCAGGUAAGUGUGUGUGAGAUUGCAGCCUUCGUGCUCUGAGGCGAGAGUUCUGACUCGGGAUCCCAUUAAACCCGCCUUUGCCAAACUUUGCCUGAUUGGUCUGGUGCGAGUUGGAAGUCUGAAACAUCCGGGGGUUGUCGGGUUGACCAGAGGCACAUGUUGCGUGCACAGUUGCGUUGAAAUGAAUUGGGAGGACGCUGGCAUUCCAAUAACCAGAUGAAUAGGCCAUGCGUUAUGGAAGCCAGACCACCUCCCAGUGAGCAUUGCCAAAGGUGGGAAAAGGGUUUGGGGGUGGCAAGAUGUCAAACCAGUGUCUCCCCCUCUGAAUGAAGGUGAAGCAUCUCAUGUCUCCACUCAGUACCCCCAAUUUCCCCUAAGACAGGAAUACAGCUGAUACCUCGAGCCAAGAAUAAGGUCUCCUUAUAAACACAUGCGUAGUGUUUCUUAUGCACCGAGACUGGAUGCCAAUGAAGACAUUAAAGAAAAGAAUUGUUUUCAGCUAGAUGCUAUCCUAUCAGAGACUCCUAAGGAGGAUAAAAUUAUCCUCCUGGGUGAUUUUAAUGCAGGCAUAAGCAAACUCAGCUCUCCAGAUGUUUUGGGACUACAAUUCCCAUCAUCCCUGACCACUGGUCCUGUUAGCUAGGAAUCAUGGGAGUUGUGGUCCCAAACAUCUGGAGGGUCGAGUUUGCCUAUGCCCGUUUUAAUGCAAGAGUUGGGUGAGAUGUCAAUCUGUGGCCUGAAACUAUUGGGAAAGAAGGAAUUGGCAACAGCAACCACAACGGAAUAUAACUUUUGACUAUCUGUGCAGCACACAACCUUGUUAUUGCCAACACAAACUUUCGACAAAUUUAAAACAUUAUGGAGGCGCCCUUGGUCGAACCACUGGCACCUCUUAGACUGUGUGGUUGUCUGAGCUGAAGAUCGCCAAGAUGUGUGAACAGAGCUAUAAUGAGUGUCUAUGACUUCUGGACACAUCACCGAUUAAUACGCUCCACGAUGGCUAUCAAGAUUGUACCUCAAUGCAGACUUCAGGAAGGGAAACUAAGGUGCAAAAUGAACACUCAAGCCCUUCAAGAUCCUAUUAAGCGGGAUUGCUUCCAAAGGACCGUCUGCUUUCAGAGUUCCCUGAUAACAUUGAGGAGCACUAAAAAACAUCCAUUAUUGCAGCCUGUGAACAAACUAUUAAAUACCAAACUAAGAAACACCAGGACUGGUUUGAUGACAAAGACAGUGAGAUUGAACACAUUCUUGACAAGAAAAGGAAGGCCUUUCAGAUCUGGCAAAGAGAUAGAAACUGCGCCACUGAGGAAAAAACCUAUGCCAAUGCAAAGGCUGAGGUUCAAAGAACCAGAGAACUAAAGAACACCUGGUGGAUUAAAAAAGCUCAAGAGAUCCAGCACUUAGCUGAUGCUCAUGAUGCACAGUUUCUUUAAAGCCAUAAAGACCAUCUAUGGGCCAAUAAAUAAUGGCAUAUGCCCCCUGUGCUCAACAGAUGGUAAGGUAAAGGGACCCCUGACCAUUAGGUCCAGUCGUGAUCGACUCUGGGGUUGCAGCGCUCAUCGCUUUAUUGGUCGAGGGAGCCGGUGUACAGCUUCCGGGUCGUGGCCAGCAUGACUAAGCCGCUUAUGGCGAACCAGAGCAGCGAACAGACAGUACCACACUUCAAAAAAAUAAAGACGCUAUUGCACUGCACUGGAAAGAAUAUUACCAGCAUCUCCUUAACUGCAACUCCCCUGUAGCUGCUGAGGUCCCCUCACAAAUUCCGCAAAAACAAAUUAAGAGAUGACCUUGCAGUAUCUCCAAAAUGGGAGAGUGGUGUACGGCUAUUAACCAAAUGAAAAACAACAAAGCCAGCAGACCUGAUGGGAUACCUGCUGAAGUCUUCAAAGUGGGUGGAAUUGAACUUCCACAACAACUUCACAAGCUCAUCGAAAAAAUCUGGGAGAGAGAGGAGCUCCCAACAGACUUUAGGGAUGUCAGAAUUAUCACUCCUACCCUUCCUGAAUCCCAAAAUAGUUUUAGACCUUCCAGGGGGACAGUAGAAAUGAUUUUCAGUGUUUGGCAGCAUCAAGAAAAAUGCAGAGAGCAAAACCAACCCCUGUAUAUGGCGUUUAUUGACCUGACUAAGGCCUUCAACACUGUAAAUUGUAAUGCGCUGCGGACUGUCCUUCUGAAAAUUAGCUGCCCAGAUAAAUUUGUAAACAUCAUUCUGCUCCUUCGUGAUGAUAUGACAGCAACAAUCGCAGAUAACAAUGGCUCUCAAAAUGAACCAUUCACAGUGGGAUCGGGUGUUAAACAGGGUUCUGUUAUUGCCCCAACUCAGUUUAUUAUUUUCAUUGCCAUGAUCCUACACUUUGUCAAAGGAAUACUCUCCACCGGAGUAGAAAUCAUAUAUUGUACAGAUGGAAAGCUCUUUAAUCUGAGUAGGCUGAAAGCAAAAAGUAAGGUUACUGUAAUUUCUGUCAUAGUGCUUCAGUAUGCUGAUGACAACGUAGUGUAUGCACAUUCAGAGGAUGACCUCCAAACCAUCCUAAAUAUCUUCGCAGAAGCUUGUGAAAAGCUUGGUCUAUUGCUCAACAUCCAAAAAACCAAAGUGCUGCACCAACAAGCACAAAACAAUACCCCUGCUGCGCCACAAAUCCAACUCAGUGGUGUAACUUUGGGAAAUGUUGAUCACUUCUCCUACCUGGGCAGUUAUCUUCUCCUACCUGGGCUGGAAUCCAGCACCGCCUGAGCUCUCUGAGUGCAGCUUUCUCCCGAUUGAAGUGCAGAGUGUUUGAGGACUGGGACAUUCGCAGGGAAACCAAAAUGCUUCUUUUGUACUACCUAUUAUACUACCAAAAGCUAUUGUACUACCAAACUUACUGUAUGCCUGUGAAACAUGGACCACUUAUAAACUCCAGCUCCAACACCUCGAAAGAUUCCAUCAACUGUGUCUCCAAAAAAUGUUACACAUCACUUGGGAAGACAGGUGAACUAAUGUCACUGUACUGGAAGAAGUAAAAGAUCCCCAGUGUUGAAGCAAUGAUUCUUCGACAUCAGCUUCGUUGGACUGGUCAUGUUGUGCGGAUGCCUGAUGAUCGUCUUCCAAAGCAACUACUCUAUUCCAAACUUAAAAAUGGAAAGCGUAAUGCUGGUGGUCAACAAAAGAGGUUGAAAGACUGUCUCAAGGCAAAUCUUUAAAAAUGUAGUACAGUGGUGCCUCGCAAGACGAAAAGAAUCCGUUCUGGGAGUCUCUUCGUCUAGCGGUUUUUUCGUCUUGCGAAGCAAGCCCAUUGACAGAUUAGCGGAUUAGCGCUAUUAGCGCUAUUAGCGGCUUUUAGCGGCUUUUAGCAGCUUAUCAGCUUAUCGGAUAAGCAGAUAAGCGGCUUAGCGACUUAG
rnacentral:lncRNA from 1 species